UUCGAAGUUGACUUCUGUCUUUUCUAUUCAUAGAGUUACAUAUUCUGUGGUGAUAUUUUUGGCUCUUGAUUUACAUUGGAUACUUUCACAACCCACUGCUCAUGAAAUUUGCUUUUGUACUUACUGAUCGUUUUUGCAUAGACCCCUCCAGGCCAUGACCAGCUGUUCGGAUUUUAUAAACGGGACCUUUGCAUUGUGAACUGAGCUACAACAGGCAGGCAGGGGCAGCAAGAUGGUGUCGCAGACCCAAGUCUUCAUUUCCCUGUUGCUCUGGAUCUCUGGUGCCUGUGGGGACAUUGUGAUGACCCAGUCUCCUGACUCCCUGGCUGUGUCUCUGGGAGAGAGGGUCACCAUCAACUGCAAGUCCAGCCAGAGUCUUUUAUACAGCUCCAACAAUAAGAACUACUUAGCCUGGUACCAGCAGAAACCAGGACAGGCUCCUAAGCUGCUCAUUUCCUGGGCAUCUACCCGGGAAUCCGGGGUCCCUAACCGAUUCAGUGGCAGCGGGUCUGGGACAGAUUUCACUCUCACCAUCAGUGGUCUGCAGGCUGAAGACGUGGCAGUUUAUUACUGUCAGCAGCAUUAUAGCUCUCCUCUCACAGUGCUUCAGCCUCGAACACAAACCUCCUCCCCAUGCACUGGGCCAGUGGGUCUUCGCUGCAGCAGCUGCUUCCUCUGCACACAGCCCCAAACACGCGUGCUUCCUCUGUGUGUCGGGGAGGUCACUCUCUUGAUUUAGUCCUUGGAGGGUUUGCAGGGCCCAGGAUAAAAUGAAGGGAUUUGGCUUUUUCUGGAUUUCUUUCUGUGGAAGGCUAUUAAAGCAAAAUGUAAUAAAGAUUCCUUA